rnacentral:tRNA from 1 species
GGAUUGUGGCUCAGUGGUAGAGUGCUCACCUAGCACGGGUGGGACUCGGGUUUGAUCCUCAGCACCA